UACGAAGGGGGCUAGCGUUGCUCGGAAUCACUGGGCGUAAAGGGUGCGUAGGCGGGUCUUUUAAGUCAGGGGUGAAAUCCUGGAGCUCAACUCCAGAACUGCCUUUGAUACUGAAGAUCUUGAGUUCGGGAGAGGUGAGUGGAACUGCGAGUGUAGAGGUGAAAUUCGUAGAUAUUCGCAAGAACACCAGUGGCGAAGGCGGCUCACUGGCCCGGUACUGACGCUGAGGUGCGAAAGCGUGGGGAGCGAACCGG
rnacentral:rRNA from 1 species